GCUCUGAUAGCUUACAAACCUAAAAGCAUUGUUCUUGUAAACCAAAGCCGGGGAACCCCUCAGAGCAACA
rnacentral:tRNA from 1 species